CAAGGUUGGAGUAAUGGCAGGCUGGAGCUGAAGCCAUUCUAACCUGCAGGCAGUGACUGACUAUUUGUGAAGCUUGCUGGUAAAGGAAACUGAGGCAUCAGGACCCCGAGGCUGUGUACUUCCUGGUGGCGCAUGCGCUCUGCAUAGUGAGAAAUAGAUGCCCCGGGAACUUGGAGAACACUCCAUGAAUGUGUACAGUGUGACACCUCCUGGCUCAGGGCAGUGAUCUAAAAGCAGAGUCAUUCAAGGACAGGUCGUGAACAGCAUGGCAGCCAGCACUUCAUCCACUAAGCCAUCUGCUGAUCCUUUCUACUUGCCAGAGUUUGAAGAGACACAUGGAGCUGCCAUCACCCAAGAAGGUUUUUUUGCAACAGAUGGAGACUAUUAGAGACCCUAACUGACUCAUCUGUAAUACAAGCCCACACAUAAGGCUCAGAGAAAAUUACAGAAGACGGGCAGAACUACCAAGGAGCACAAUCCACCUGACCCCAGUUCUCUGUCUGUCUGUCUGUCUAUCUUUUCUUCAUUCCUUCACUUUCCCAGGUGGAUCCAUCCCUAGAGCCA
rnacentral:lncRNA from 1 species